rnacentral:lncRNA from 1 species
UUCGAGCUGCUCUUCAAAUUUUCAGUAAGUUCAAAUAGUUUUUGUUUCAUCUUGAUUGCAGUUACAUGUUUAAUUUUCACUAUUUUUUAUUUAUUAUAUGAUUUUGGUUAUACUUUAUUUCUUAUUUUUAAAAUAUUUAAAAAUAUGAUUGUUUGUUAUGUUUAUAUUUAAUUUAUUGUGCUGUUUAUGUCAAUAUAUUUUGGUUUCUUAGGUUUAUAUCAGUAUGAUUUAGUUUGUUAUAAUUUUAUUUUAGUAUUUUAAUUACCUACUUUAUGUAUAUUUAUUUUUUAAUUUUAUAAUAUAUGUUUAAUAUUUUAAAAAAUUACUGUAUUUUAUAAUAUUAAUAUAUUAUGUUUAUGAUUUAUAGUUUAUUUGAUUAUAAUUUUUUUAUGAAAUUUUUUUCUAUUGUUAAUUAGUUACAUUUUUGUUAUUAUAGUAUUUUUUAUUUUUUUAUUAUUGUAGAUUUUUUAAUAUUAAAAUGUAUUUCUUUUAUAUAAGUUUUUAUUAUUUUAUAAUAUAUAUAUUUAAUGUUUUAAGAAAUUAGUUAUGUUUUUAUUUAAUUGGUAGUUGUGUUUAUAUUAGUAUAUUUUUGUGUAUAAGAUUUAUAAUUUAUUUGAUUAUAAUUUUGUAUAAUUUUUUUUAUUGUUAAUUGCGUUUUAUUUAUUUUUGUUGUUGUAAUAUUUUUUUAUUUUCCAUUAGUGCAGGUUUUUUAAUAUUAAAAAAACAAUAAUUUUUUGAUUUAUAUACAAUCCAAUUUAGUUUCUGAUUUAUUCUCCAAUUUUGUAGUACAGUUUUAAUGUUUUAAGAAAUUAUUUGAAGUUUUAUUUUUAUUUAACUUUUUUUGUGUUUAUAUUAAUAUUUUUUUUAUAUUUAUUAUUUUUAAGAAUUAUAAUUUAUUUGAUUAUAUCUUUUUUAAACUUUGUUAAUUACUUAUUAUGGUUACAUUUUUAUUGUUGUAGUAUUUUUUUAUUACUAUAAGAUUUUUUAAUAUUAAAAAUAAUACUUUUUAUUUAUAUAAGAUGUUGUUUAUUUUUUAAUUUUAUAGUAUAUGUUUAAUAUUUUAAAAAUUUAUUUGAAGUUCUAUUUUUAUUUAAUUUGUUGUGUUUAUAUUAAUAUAUUUUUGUGUUUAUGGUUUAUAAUUUAUUUGAUUAUAUUUUUUAUUGUUAAUUAAGUUAUAUUUUUUUAUUGUAGUAUUUUUUAUUUUUCAUUACUAAUUUUUUUAUAUUAGAAAAUAAUAUUUUUUAUUUAUAUAACAUCUGAAUUUUUUUUUAUAAUUUUAUAAUAUGUGUUUAAUAUUUUAAGAAAAUAUUUGAAAUUCAGUUUUUAUUUAAGUUGUUGUUCGGUUUAUAUUAAUACAUUUUUUAUAAUUAUUAUAUUUAUGAGUUAUAAUUUAUUUGAUUAUAAUUUUUUAUGAAACUUUUUAAUUUUUAAUUACUGAUUAUAGUUACAUUUUUGUUGUAGUAUUUUUUAUUUUCUAUUACUGCAAAAUUUUUAAAUAUUAAAAAGUAAUAUUUUUUAUUUAUAUGAGAUGUAAUUUAUUUUCUAAAUUUUAUAGUAUAUCUUUAAUAUUUUAAAAAAUUACUUGAAAUUAUGUGUUUAUUUAAUUUGUUAUUGUGUUUAUAUUAAUAUAUUUUUUAUAUAAUUAUUAUGUUUAUAAUUUAUAAUUUAUAAUUUAUUUGAUUAUAAUUUUUUUUCUAUUGUUAAUUACGUUAAUUUUUUUUUAGUAUUUUUUAUUUUUUUAUUAUUAUAAUUUUUUUAAUAUUAAAAACUAAUAUUUUUUUAUUUAUAUAAGAUGUGCUUUAUUUUUUAAUUUUAUAGUAUAUAUUUAAUAUUUUAAGAAAUUAUUUGAAAUUCUUUUUUUAUUUUAUUUGUUAUUAUGUUUAUAUUAAUAUAUUUUUUGUAUAAUUAUUAUGUUUAUGAGUUAUAAUUUUGUAUUAAUUUUUUUUCUAUUUUUUAUUAAAUUAUGAUGGUUAAAUUUUUGUGUUUUCUAUUAUUUUAUGGUUAUUGAUUAUGUUUAUAAUUUGUUAGUAUAUGUAUAAUAUUUAAGAAAUUUGUAAUCUUUAUAUUGAAUUUAUUGAUAUGUUUAUAUGAUUUUUUUAUAUUAAUAUUAUGUUGAUAUAUUAUUAAUAUUAAAAUUUGAAUGUUAUACUUAUUUAUAAAUUAAUUUUUGUGUAUUAAUAUAGUUAGUUAUUAUGUUAAUAAGAACUGUAACCCUAGCUUAUAUAAGACAUAAUUGUAUCGAUGAUGGAUAACAAUAACAAUUCGCAUCUACAUAACCAUUAUUGCAAUUUAUAACAAUGUUAUUCGAGGCAACAUCAAUCUAAAUUCCCAUAACCCAAAUUUGGAGUGAGAUUCAAAAUGUCCAGAAAAUAAUGACGAACAUGAAUUUGGAUAUCAACAUACAUACGUUUUGACAGGAUUUUAAAUGAUGCACAGAUUAGAAGAUCAAAUGAAUUAGAUUGAUCAUGAUUAACGAGAAUGACUAUAUUAUGAUUAUGUAUUCUUAUUUUUCAUGUCAAACAAUGUUACGUGAUGCAUCUUAUUAGAUGUUAAUGUUUUAUUGCUAGCUAUUAUUACUUAAUAUUUUUUUAAUGCAUUUUGAAUGUUUUUAUAUGUUAUUAAUUCAUAUAUCAUAAUAUUUCUAAAAGUAAAAUUAUUUUUACAAAAAUAUUUAAAUAUUCAAUUAAUUUUAAAAUAUAUUAACUUUUCAUAAGAAUAAUCAUAAUUACCAUUAUUAAUAAUAUUAUUAUAUAUCUAAAAUAUAUAUAGUUAAUAUAUAUAACAUAAUAUAAUACAAAUAAAAUAAUUUUAAAUAAUAUUAAAUUUAUCUAGAUACAAAUAUUAAUUAUAAACUAAUUGAACUAACAUAAUUUUUUAUUAUAUUAUUAAUAAAAUAAAAUAAUAAUAAUAAUAAACAAUAAAAAUAAUAUACUAAUGUUUCCGCCGGUUGACCAGAAUCGUCUUUGCGCGUGGCUUGUCCUCGCGAGUUAGGGCACCUUCGUUUUGCUCCGUCUGUGAGUACCUGAAAAGAAGUGAACAAAGGGGCGUCCUUGCGGCCGUUUGCACUCCGACAAUCAAGUCAGCUAGUGAGAAACAUCAAAAGGUGAUGCACCCCCGUAUCGGAACACUUGAACGAAUGCUCUGAGGGUGGUUGAAAACUGUGUAACUGAAUAACUAGUACUGAAGGGCUAAAACUGUGUUGCCCUAAUUGCCUUGUGCUCACUGUGAGUGUGCCGCGGAGACAACUAGGGUUUUUCUCUGUGUAUCUGCGUGUAUUAGGGUAAAAAGUCUCUCCCCCUCAAAUGCUCCCCAGGUCCCUUUUUAUACACCUCUCAUCUUUAAAGCGCGUUAAAGCGCAUUGAAAGCGUAUAAAAACAUUCUUUGGAACAUUCGAAUCUUAACUGAAUUAACGCGUACCUUGGCAAUCUUUCACUGGAACUUUAAUGAGCACGUGUGCCUUACCACGUGCCCUUCUGACUUGAUCGUUAUUCUGUGCAGAGGGUCCCACAGCGCCGCAACCCAACUUAGGGUUAUUCCAUCACGUGAGCCCUUGCGAAGUGCUUCUGGCACGUGGGUUGACUUUCUGGGUGCCAACUCAUGCGCCCCAAUCACUAGUUACUUGCCCUGGGGGUGGAUCUACCUUUCCCUAGUACCAUGCACGUGGUUCUCCCCUGGUUAUGGCCCCCUCAUGGGUUGUAUCUGUUCCAGGGUCUCCCAGCGGUGGCAUGGGUACUUCACCAGUCAGAAUAUCCCCUUUUGGUGCUAGACUCAUGGCCUUGAAGCCACCCUUCUCUUCACCUUACUUCUGUUCUGUAUGGCCGAGGCUCGAAGCCUCUCGGGCGAUGUCUUUACUCGGCGAAGUCUCUCUUUGGGCGAUGCCUUCCUUGGGCGACGGCUAUGCGAGGCACUAACUCGAGCGGUUAACCUGUUAACUUCUCUUCCUUGGGUCCCUCGAGGGCCCCCCACCACGCGUUGACUCUGACCUUUGGUCAAUGCCCGAUGACGGGACAGUACACAAGCCCCCCAGUCUUGAGCUGAAACUAGUUUCAGAGAAAAGACUAAGGCUAAGGCCUUGCCCCCGCUGUCCUUGUGAUACUUUGAUGACGCGUCACUCCUUGACUGGUUGACGUGACAUUUUCUGCACCGUCGGCGCAGCGCACCCUCGAGGACUCUGACAAUGUGAUAUUCUCUGAGCAAGAAAAGUGACUUUUCAGGUCGUGCCUUAAUCUUGUGACACGUGGCCCAAUUGCACGGUGCCCUUUUUGUGUCCUUUGGCGCCUCAACUGUAAUGUUUGGGUCUUUGAAAUCUCGUACUUGCACUCAUCGUUUCUACGUUUUCGCAUCUUCUUCGCACCGUUCAUCUUCCUUCCAAAGAGUUCUUCUUGCAUUCUUUUCUCGUUGACACUUCCCUUCUACACUACUACUGAACCUUUCUUCUUUGAUCUUUUAGUUCCUUCAUUUACAGCUUGUGCCAACAUGUCUACCAACCCUCCUUUUCCUAGAGUCAACCCUAAGGAUCUUUACGCGUGGACUUCGCGCGAACUUCUUGACGAGUGCUCGAGCUUACUUUCCGUCAGGGCCCGGAGGGAACAUGUGGGGGACCCGAGCACUUACGAUCACCGUGCCUUCCCGAAGAGAUACGAUGACGAUAUCGCCGUGCUUCCUUGUACCCUAGGAGAGCCGGUGUGUGGGGACGAGCGAGCCAACAAUGGAGUUCCCUUUUUUCUACUUCUACCAGGUGGUCUUUAAGUGCGUCGGUGUGCGCCUGCCUUUCUAUAGGUUCGAGAGAGAACUGCUGACGGAGAUCAAUGCUGCCCCAGCCCAACUGUAACCUAACAGCUGGGCCUUUGCCAAAGCCUUCAACAUUCUGUUCGGUUUCCAAGGGUGUGCACCCUCCGUUGACAUCUUUCUUCACUUCUUCGAAGUGAAAAGGCAAAGAAAUAACCUCUGGGUGACACUGAGCAAUGUUCCCGGUAGGGUCCUGUUGACCCCCUUCCAGCAAUCCUUCACGGGGUGGAAAGGCAAGUUCUUCAAGGUUUGUUGUUCCGACCUUGUGCCCUCUGCUCUAGACGACUUUCCCCUGUAUUGGGUGAGGGAGGCCAGAGCCCUGAAGUCCAAACCUCUUAAGAAGUUGCCUCCGAGGGAUCAGAAGGCUUGCCGGAUCUUUGCGGGUGCUGGAGGCUUUGACGUUGAUGCCUUGAUAAACCUGGAAUACAAUGCUGAGGCCUUGGAAAAAUACAUAUGUACGAGAAACUUCCCUUACGACCUUCCUAUUCCCUGCUUUGGCUAGACUCUUGCAUGAUUUUAAAUGCCUUAGUUUGUGCUCGUGACUACUGAAAUGCCUUCCUGUCGUGACUACUGAAAUGACCACUGGGUUAAUGUCGUGUGGGACCACAUCCCGCAGGUCAGCCCUCGUGAAAACGAGAUCUGACUCCCAUGGGUCAUCCGGAAAUUCUUCUACAAUCGUACUUACUGACCUCACAUAUUUCUUCCGUUGGGAGGCAGCGGGCCCUCCUCCAAAAAAGCCGUCAGAGAUGGUGUGCACUUCUCCGUGAGUUGAGACUUUAUGCGCUUGACUUUCCUCAGGCGUCGCCGGGGCUGUGGUCGCGGUGGACCCAGCGAGAUAAUCUUUCAAGAAACCAUUCUUCACAAGCUCGUCCAACUGAUAGCCCAACGCCAAACAGUUGUUAAUGUAGUGUCCAAACGCCUCGUGGAAUUCGCACCAUGAUUCUUUGUGAGGCCCCAGAAUUUUGUCAGACUUCACUGGUGGCCUCAACCUGUCAGCUAUGUUAGGCACGAUGAUGAGGUCUUUGAGCUCCACCACAAAGUUGUGCCUUAGCGAUCUACUUCCUUCUUUCAUUCCUUCGGCUCGCCCCCUUGGCGGGGCCCUUCUCGUCUCGUAAGUGCACUUCCUGUCUGAGCUUCUUUUCUCUGUGGUAGCUUCGUGGACCCUGGCAGGUUGUGUGCGUAUCUGCGCCCUUGGUCGCGCAGGUGCAGCAAUCAUACACUUCUCGUAUGGCUCGCCUUCCAAGGCUAUGUGCUCUAGCGCCCGACGCCUCACUUUAGCAAAUGUUUUGGGGCGGCUGCGGUUGAGCGAUUUGCUAAAAGAUCCGGGACGCACCCCCUUUCUAAAUGCGUACACGAUCAUGGGCUCUUAUGUGGUACCCACUUUUACCACCUGCGCUCCGAAACGACUUAUGUAUUCCUUCAGGGUCUCCCCUUGGAAUUGUUUUACGUCGAAAAGGUCAUACGAGACCGGGGCUGGGGCCUUGUUGGCUAAAUAUUGUUCUCUAAAUAGUCGUGAGAGUUGUGCGAAGGACGUGAUGUGACCCUCUGGGAGGCUGAUGAACCAAUCCAGGGCCAUCCCCGUCAAAGUGCUCAUGAAGAGCUUGCAUUUUACGGCAUUAGAGCCACCAACCAACAUCAUCUGCGUGUGGAACGCCGUGAGGUGUGCUUCGGGAUCCUCCAUCCCUGUGAAGGUCACCUUAGGCCCUAUGAACGUGCUGGGGAUUGUUGUCCCUAAGAUCGCCUGUGAGAACGGUGUUAUGAACUCCCUAGGUGGGGAGGCAGGGAAUAGGAAGGUCGUAAGGGAAGUUUCUCGUACAUAUGUAUUUUUCCAAGGCUUAUCAAGGCAGCAACGUCAAAGCCUCCAACACCCGCUGUUCCGUCCGGUUGAGCGGGACGUCUUCGUGCGCGACCUCAACCGUCAGCUAGGGACACCUUCCCACUGGUUGCCUAUGGAUUCCUGCAAAAAAGAGGACAAAGAGGCGCCCUAGCGGCCGUGUGCACUCCGACGCUCAAGUCAGCCAGCAAGAAACACCAAAAACUGUCCACCUACGUGUCUGAGCACCGCAUGUGGCACUCUGAAGGUGGUAAACGAAGGAAUAUAUAUUUGUAUGUGUAUGUGAUCCAUGUUUAGUUUUACAAUAUAUAAAUUUUAUUAUAAUUCAUAUUCUUGAUGCUUAUCAUAUUUGUUUGAUAAUAUGAACAUGACAAAUGAUAAAGUUUCUCGUUCAAAAACUGGUAGAGGACCUACAAGAUUAAAGAAUGUGUUUAAGAAGAUAAAUAAAUAUGACAAAAUAUCAUUGUCUAUUGAUGUCAACACUGAUGUGACCAUUGGGCCAUAUGCAAAGAAAUUUAGGAGUUAUCUCGGAGUAAUGUCUCGUGAAAGGAUCUCUAUCUUAACUGAGUCCUGGGAUCACGUGACCGAACACGAGAGAAACAUGAUUUAAUUUGACAGGAUAUUCUAGUAUGUAAUUGUUUUUACUUUAUUCAAUCUAAAGUUCUUUUUUACUUUGUUCUUAUUUAUGAACUAAUUAUCCCAAAUAAUGUAGACGCAUUACAAGAUCCCGAAUGUGGAAACCUUGAAAGCGAAGGUUCUUUCUGAUGUGGGUGUUAAGUUUCGUCAGUUCAAAUCAAAAUUGGCAAUAGAUUUUAUAUAUGGUGAAAGGAAAGAAGAUAAUCAUUAUACAAAAUAUGCAUUCAUUGAUGAAGAAACUUGGCAGCAGUUUGUGCAGAUUUGACAAACUGAAAAAUGGUAGGUUAAUAUCACUUGUUAUAUGUGGAUAUAGUUUCUAUUAAAUGUUGAUGAUAGGAUGUUCGAAACAAAGCAAAAGCUGGUCAGACACAUAAUGAUACCCCACACUUAUUGUCCCGUGGUCGUUAUAAGUUGUUAGAGUAGAAGAUGUUUGAAGAAAAGAUUAAAGCACAUUCUACUUCGAUUGAUGAAAUGAAUAGUGUAGAUUCUUUGAGGCCUCCUUCCCCACCACUCCGACAUGAGAUGUGGAAGGGUGCCCGUAUAAAGCCACCAGGGACAUGGAGUUCUAAGUCUAUAGAACAAACAGUUGAACAAAUUGUAAGAAAUAUGUUUCUAUGUGUUAUUUUAAAUUCAAUGUGUUGAAGUUUGACAAUUUCUUUUCAUUUGUUUUAGAAUUCUCUUGCUGAGCAAUCAACACAGGGGACUUUUAAUCCAUGUGGUCACAAAGAUAUUCUUAAUGUUGCUCUCGGACGACCUGAGCACCCUAGACGUGUUUGUGUAGUUGGAUAUGGGGUUCGGAUUCGGUUAUACUUUGGACCUUCAUCACAUAGCAAGGAACAAUCGUCCAGUCAACCUAGCCAAGAGUAUUUACUACAGUUACGUGAACAGAUAAAGCCCGAGGUAACUUAAGAGCUUAGAGAAAGCGUAAUAGAUGAGUUUAAUAAGCGAAUGGAAAGGGAGUUCGAAAAGCAGUGGGAGGGUUUAAGACUCUCACAACAACACCUACUACGGUAGAAGAUGAACCACCUUCGCCUCCUAUUAAGAAAGUCAACACUAAAGGGAGUUGUUCGGCGGUUGAUCUAUCGGGAGAUGACUUUGGCUCUCAACUAGCCAAUGCGAGUUAUAUGUUGAGUGUAAUUCUUUGACCCAAUUCGUUGCCCUGGUAAGUGUUAUGAAGGGGUCACAAUGUGCCUCUUCCUUCUAAUUUCAUAAAGGUCACGGUGGAGAAGGUCCUUUAUGGUGAUGUUGCAGUUCCUGUGCCGACAUCAGAGGUCACAAUUGUAACAGAGGCAUUACAUACUUUAGUUGUCUGGCCUAGACAUCUCGUCAGACCUAUAGACUCUACGAUAUAUCUUUGCACUAAUACUAAUAGGAUUAUAUAUCAGAUAUAUUACAUUCUAACUAAUUUAAGUAUUUGUUUGUUGAACCUAAGACAAAAUUGCCUCUACGGAAGAAAAUAUUCUCCAUUGAUGAUCAUGUGGUGACAUUGGUGGAAGUUGUUACAGCUUUAGAUACAACCGUCUUAGAGGUUCCAUGGGAUGCCAAUGUUUUUGGAAGGCAUAGUGAUGUACCGUUGUACUUUCACAAGUCUGAUUUGUUGGACCUUGCAUCCGUUGAUUAACAUAACAUUUCUGCAAUUAUGGAUGAUGUAAGUUCAAAUAUUAAAAUCUUUAUACUUUUGAUUUAUUAAAUAUAUUAGUACUACCUUAUUGAAAUUUAGGUAUUUGUGUGGAUUAUGCUUCGACGAGGGGAAACACAAUAUAUAUGGAUUUUUAGACCCUCAAGUCAUUCAAUUAAUUGGAAACAAAAAGCUAGAAACACAAACAUACAUCACCACUGCCUUAAAGAAUGGAGAAAAACAAAUUUAUUUUGCUCCGUACAUCCAUGAGUAAGUCUUUAUUUAUUAAAUAAGUUAUACUAAAUUAUUGACAUAAGAGAAACUAACUGAUUUGUUAUAUAGGUGUCAUUGACAACUAUUGAUCAUAUAUGUUCAAGAUCAUACCGCUGCAUGGUUUUACUCAUUGCAUAAAAAACCCCUACCUAUUUUAAACACAUUAUAGAUAGGUAUGACAGUUUCAUUUAACAUUUAUUAUUACUUAUUCAUUAUAUAAUGUUUUGUAUUCUAAUAUGAAAUCUUAUUAUAUUAGUGUUUACUCUGGAUAUAACAUGUUGAGUGGGAGUUGAAGUGCAAACGCACAAAGACUCACUUGGAGUGUAAUUCUUUCACCCGACUUGUUGCCCUGGGUAAGUGUUAUGAAGGGGUCACAAUGUGUCUCUUCCUUCUAAUUUCAUAAAGGUCACGGUGGAGAAGGUCGUUUAUGGUGAUGUUGUAGUUUUUGUGUUGACAUCAGAGGUCAUAAUUGUAGCAGAGGCAUUACAUACUUUCGUUGUCUGGCCUAGACAUCUCGUCAGAGCUAUAGACUUUACGUUAUAUCUUUGCACUAAUACUAAUAGAAUUAUAUAUCAUAUAUAUAUUACAUUCUAACUAAUGUAAGUAUUUUUUUGUUUGUUAAUGAGUAGCAGGAACCUCAGACAAAACUGUCUCUGUGAAAGAAGAAAAUAUUCUACAUUGAUGAUCCUGUGACGACAUUGGUGGAAGUUGCUACAACUUUACAUACAACCGUCUUAAAGAUUCCAUGAGAUGCCAAUAUUUUUGGAAGGCAUAGUGAUGUACAGUUGUACUUUCAACGGUAGUGAUGUACCAUUGUACUUUCC